rnacentral:rRNA from 1 species
UACAGAGGGGGCAAGCGUUAUUCGGAAUUAUUGGGCGUAAAGGGCGCGUAGGCGGCUUUUCAAGUGACGGGUGAAAUCCCUCGGCUUAACCGAGGAACUGCCUGUCAGACUGGAAGGCUUGAGACCGGGAGAGGUGAGUGGAAUUCCCAGUGUAGCGGUGAAAUGCGUAGAUAUUGGGAGGAACACCAGUGGCGAAGGCGGCUCACUGGACCGGUACUGACGCUGAGGCGCGAAAGCGUGGGGAGCAAACAGG